rnacentral:lncRNA from 1 species
ACAAGCAGCAAGUAAAAGAGAAACAAGGGAAAGUCAGAGAAAAGAAAAACAAGGAAAGUUAGAGAAGGGGAAAAGGUGUCCUCGGGACACAGGGGCUCAGAUUUUCCCCCUUAUAUUCGGCAACCCUUCCGGCAGCUGAAUGAUCAAGACCAGGGAUGGACGAUGGAGCAGCUUCUCAGAUCUCAACAGAACCGCCAACAGCAGGAGCCAAGUUCAGAACUCCGGCGGCUCAGAUCUCCUCAGGUAACCACCAAACAGGACUCCGAUGGACAGGAAAGCCCGGUGAUACCACCACCCACGCAGGGAAUCCCGUAUUAUCAAGGAAUCAACCACAAAGGAAUAGCAGAGCCUUUCUAUCCU